rnacentral:lncRNA from 1 species
UUAUAACCUUGAAACACCACGCGAAAAAGAUAUGGAAGCAUAACCUGAUCUUCCGUAAAAAAAAAAAAAAAAAGAUUUAUAAGAUACUUAAUUAUUUUCUAAUGUAAUAUAAAAAAUUAUAAGACAAAAAAGUAUCGAAAACACCGUAAUUUAAAAGAAUUGAGCUUUCCCUCCAAAAAUAAACUAACACUUAAAUUCUACAUUUUUAAUCUACCAAAAGUACAAAUAGCGUAGAGAUCUCCAACUGUACGUACGAUAAAAAUUAGUGUAAUCGUUUUUUUUAUUAUUAUUAAAUGUAAAAUAUUUUCAAUAUAAUAUACUUAUUAAUUAUAAAUAAUACAGAUGAUCAUAUAAUUUAUAAAAACUAAUACUUGUACUUAUGUUUAUUUUAGUAAAUAAUUAUUAGAGCAGAUUCGGAUUCAAGUACCUGGAUCAUAGUUUUUUCAUAUCAUAUGCUUUUUGCCCUCUAAUGUAUAUGUAUAUAUAUAUCAAUAUGAAACGUUUGGGGUCCUAUUUAUAAAUUCACGAAGUUGAAGCUCCAUGCAGAAUAAAUUUAUCCAAAUUACGGAUUAUCAUUUGGCUUUUAGUUUAUAUCUAAAUAUUAUAAAACUAAUUUAACAGACAAUAACAAAUCUCUUGCCACUCGCCUCAACUCUAUUAAAGAUGCACGCGCUACUCUAUAUCUCCACGUGUUGAAUUACUGACGCUUGUCCUUGUAAUAGACAGCGAGUAACGUUAUACCCCGUUAAACGCGCGUUUGAAGCAAAUUUCUCUUGCAGCUCCCCCUCGAGCUUAAAAGAGUUUCCAAAUUAUAAAAAAAAAAAACGUCCAUCAAAUUUAUCUUCAGCUCCUUUGUUCAGACAAAAAUAAUUUUCGAUCCCUCUCCAUUUUCCCUCUCUUUUCCAUCUUUGGAGGGAAAAGAAAAGCUCUCCAAAAAAAAAACACCCGAACCAGAAUCCCGUUUUGCACUGGUAUCAAAUUUAGGGUUUUGAUUACUCACAUUCUUCUUCUCGUUUUGUCUUCAAUCUUUUGACUCUCUUGCUCUUUGUUUUUUGCUCGAUUUACAGGAACUUACUUACUGUGACUAAAGCUUACUGAAUUUUUCUUAUUGGAUUUAAUAUCGGGCGACAAUCUUUGAACUUUGCGCUUAUUGAAGUUCAGGUUUGUUGCUUUAGUUGUCAUUUACUGCUCGUUUUCGUCUUUGUCUGUUGUUUUUCUAGGGUUUAACUAGUUAUUGAUGCAUGUCUUGCGCGACCUGCAUUAAAUGCUUAACUUUUAGUGCUGAUUUUUUAUAUUCGGUUUGGGAACGAUACCGAUAUAGAUUCUUUCGUUGCUCGUUAUAGUUCUCUUGUGCGCCUUGUAGAUUUGGAGUUUCCCACGGUUAUCUAGGGUUUUACCUAAGAUUUUAGUCCUGUCAAUGAUCUUAAGUGUGUUAUGACCUGUUAUGCAUAUGCGAAGCUUUAGCAAUUUGUAAGUCAGAGUGUUUCAAAUUUAUAAAUUGGGAAAUGUUGACGUGGAGGUAGUUGUGAUUCUCAGUAUUUUUUCUUUGAAUUUAAGCUGAACAGGAGUACUGCCUUUAGGUUCGAAAGAUUAUUCAUUGGCCCUUUUACUUAUGGCUUAACAUUAAUAUAAGGUAUUUGAAAAUCCAAAGGUAUGGAUUCAACAGUCUGAGUAGAUGAUUAAGGUAGAGAGGUUAUGGGGAAGCAGUUAGCUUCUACUGUUUGUAUCAAGACGAGAGAGGUAAUUUUGGAAUUUAUGCUUCAAAUUGAAUGACUGUACCAAGAGGUGGGGGAAACAGAAUUCUGGUACAUAUACUUCGACUUGAACAAUGCUGCAUUUGAUUAAAAUGUCACGAAGUUACCUUUUUCUGUUUUCCUCUUUAUUGACUGGCUACACAGUUUUCUAGUAUGAAGAAGCCUGAUUUUUAUUUUGUGAUGGGAUAUUUCUAGAAAAUUUGGUAUUUAAAUUUUGAUUAAGAGAAAAUCUGGUAUUUAAAUUUUUAUUCUUUUACUAGUUCGUGUAGUUUGAUUUAAUCUGGUUUCUGUGCAUGUAUUAGUCUGUAUUUUCAAGCCCUGUUGAAUGGUUACAUUUUUUACAUGUUACCAUUCAUGCUAGUUUUGCAUUACAGCUGCCAUGGGUGCUGCUGUAGGAUCAAUCCUAUUUGGAGCUUUUCUUGGAUUUGCCCUUUAAGGAUUCUUAUUUUUGGCUAAAAUAACAGACUGUUUUUUUCUGGGUUGCUAAUUCAAAAUUUAUUCAGUCAGGAAACUGUGGUUAGGUCGUUGUUGCCAAUAAUUACACUCUUGUGCUGGUUCAAGGUAACAGGGAUUGCAGUCCAAAGAUUGGUGAGAUCUUCACAUUGAAAUGCAAACAAGGAAAAGGGUUUCUGGAAGAAAUGCUUGUCGACAGCAUGCCAGUCCCAGAAUUUCGAGAGCUCAAAAGAAGACGUCUGAAAAUGUACAAGGUGCAGAAAAGAGAGUGACAGAGCUUAUUACGUCUUCAGCUAGAAAGCAGAAACUUGGUAUCUUAUUAAUUUCCUGUCGCUUAUUAUUUCUAUUUCAGCUUAUUUUUAAUUCAGGACUAUUAANNNNNNNNNNNNNNNNNNNNNNNNNNNNNNNNNNNNNNNNNNNNNNNNNNNNNNNNNNNNNNNNNNNNNNNNNNNNNNNNNNNNNNNNNNNNNNNNNNNNNNNNNNNNNNNNNACAUUCUCAAAGAAAAAUAUGGACCAUGUUGCAGCAGCAAAUCUGAAUAAUAGAUAUGGCUCGGAGCUUGAUAAAAAUUCAAAUGCUUGUUUGGAGCAUAACGCAGCUACCGUUGCUUCUGUGGAUCACAAGGUAUAUAUCUAGCUUACCAAGUCUCUAUCUGGAGUUGUCUUUUGGGUGAAUGAUACUAUAGAAUCUUUAAAAAUAAAAGCUAUUGAUCAGAUCAUUUGGGUGCAUUUCUGCCCUUAAGUCAAGAAAAAUGAAAACAACAAGAAACUAAUGGCUGUUCUCCUAAUCCAGUAUUUCUUUUAUAUAUAUGUUCUAUCUUAUUACACACAUGCACCACUCAGACUCUUAGAUAUUCAACCUUUUUUUUGUAUAAGAAAAAAAUAGUGUUAGAAAGACUCAUAUAUUUAUAUAUGCAUAUAUGUACUUAUAUUCCUGUAUGAACACAUUAUUAUGUUUGUUUCUUCAAUUACAUUGACAUUCAGUAUGCUCCCUAUGAUACUCUACUUCCACAUUAGAAAAACAUAUAAUUAUAAAUCUGAAAGCUCAAAUCAUUAUUACCAAAAAACUUGAAUUUGAGCUUCUGAGAACUAAUGAUUUUGAUUGAAAAAUUAUUGAGCAAAUCAUGACAUAGCUAUAGCAUUAUAAGUGGGCUAACAGUACAUACAACUCGGUGACUCUAAGCUCAUACAUGACUGGAUCUUGAUACGAGUGGUUGGGAUUAUGAUGCCUAAUUUCCGUGUCAAAAAUAUGUAUAGUUAUUGAGUUCUAUGUAGGGGCUUAAAUAACUCAAAUUUGAGCUUGAUCUUUUAAGUGCAAUCUUAGAUUCAAAAAAUUGUUAGAUUAUUAGUGCUUGGAUCCGGAGGCAUUACAUUUCUCUUACAUGGUCUUUAACAUUUCUGACGUAUGUUUGAUGUGGGGGUUUGUGAAACCUUGACAUCUCAAGCAAAGGCUGUGAAAGAUAAUUUAUAAAAUGAAGUUAUCUGUUGUACAAUUCUUGCGCAGGGAUGUAAUGAGAGAAGUGCUCAUGAGUUGGAAACUAUUUUCUCUCCUGCUUUUCACAUAUCAAAAAUUUCUGGAGGGGAUAUUGCUAGUGGAGGUAGGUGAUAAAAAUAUAUUGUUCUUAUUUUGUUAAGGUGUAUAGUCCUUGGGUUUCUUUCUUUUCUUUCCAUAUAAUUGUGUCUCUACUUAUUUAGUUGACUUCAUCAAAUUCUUUUGGAGUGAAGACCAGAAGCUUCAUCAGGGUAGUGGAAUGGAAUAUUCACAAGUUGACAUGCCGAAAAGCCAUUAUGCUCAAGAAUCCUCCUUUGUAGACGAGAAGAAUUGCUCUUCAACUUCCUUCAUUGCAUCAGGUGAUUGUGACAUGGGAGAUGCAAAUGUAUCUUCCGGAAACUUAGGGGCACUGAGCUUUGGUCAUGAGUCGGUUGUUCUAGAUACAAACAUGGAUUCUUAUCGUGGUUCGGAGUCAGGGCCUGCCCUUUCAUCUGAAGUUUCUGCCAUCUAUCUGGCAAUGAAGAACUCAAAGUUAGAAUGUAUUGAUGAGCAUGGUCAAGAUUCUAUGUCGGCUGAUGUUUGUGUUGAGGAUGAAGAUUCUGAAGAAUUUGAUGACUUUGAUCCAUAUUUAUUUAUAAAAAAUUUACCUGACUUGUCCGCAGUUGUCCCCACUUUUCGGCCUGUGCUAUUACCGAAACAAACCCGGAGCUGUCCUCCUACUACUCUUGUUCUUGACUUGGAUGGUAAGAAUAUCAAGAUAUUUAGUUCUGUUGUGAUUUUUAUGAGCAUAAUUGAGACUUCAUAAAUGUCUAUCAAAUAUUGCUUGCUGUUCUUUGGUUGCUUAAUGCAACUUUAUAAUGAUAUUUAUCGAAGGGCGAGAAACAAUUGGUUUUCUUGUUAUCAGCUGGUCCUGGAUCCAUGGCCAAACCUGUGUUUUAUGAGAUUCUGAUAUAUAGAUGUUUCUGNNNNNNNNNNNNNNNNNNNNNNNNNNNNNNNNNNNNNNNNNNNNNNNNNNNNNNNNNNNNNNNNNNNNNNNNNNNNNNNNNNNNNNNNNNNNNNNNNNNNNNNNNNNNNNNNNNNNNNNNNNNNNNNNNNNNNNNNNNNNNNNNNNNNNNNNNNNNNNNNNNNNNNNNNNNNNNNNNNNNNNNNNNNNNNNNNNNNNNNNNNNNNNNNNNNNNNNNNNNNNNNNNNNNNNNNNNNNNNNNNNNNNNNNNNNNNNNNNNNNNNNNNNNNNNNNNNNNNNNNNNNNNNNNNNNNNNNNNNNNNNNNNNNNNNNNNNNNNNNNNNNNNNNNNNNNNNNNNNNNNNNNNNNNNNNNNNNNNNNNNNNNNNNNNNNNNNNNNNNNNNNNNNNNNNNNNNNNNNNNNNNNNNNNNNNNNNNNNNNNNNNNNNNNNNNNNNNNNNNUCAAAGUUUUUAUGCAGAGCAGCUCUAAUGUGCUGAUCAAGAGAAAGUAUUUCGGCAUCGUGUUUUCCGCGAAUCAUGUGUUUUGUGAUGGCAACUACCUCAAAGAUUUGUCUGUUCUUGGGCGUGAUCUGUCCCGUGUUAUUAUAGUUGACAACUCCCCACAGGUAAAAUGUGGUCAACUAGAUUGAUGUUGUCCGAUGUUUGAGAAAACACGCUUCCUUGCUAUUCCAAAAGAGACCAGCAUGUGAUUUGCGAUGUUAUUGAGUGAAAAAGAAAAUGAUUGUGCGUCCUUGCAUGCAAAUCACUGAGAACCACAUUAUUCUUCAGGUAGUUAUUUUCAGUCUCAAGAAAUGGUUAUUUACUUGGUUUUGUUUGUGUUUAUUUUCUCCUAGGCAUUUGGAUUCCAAGUGGACAAUGGGAUACCAAUUGAGAGCUGGUUCGAUGAUCGCACGGAUCAAGAAUUGCUUUUAUUACUUCCAUUUUUGGAGAGUUUGGUUGGAGUUGAAGAUGUAAGGCCACUGAUCGCAAAAAAAUUCAAUCUUCGGGAGAAAGUGGCAGCAGCUGUUUAUCCUCCCUUGAUCGCAAAUAAAGGAGAUCCUUUUGAAAGGUGAACCUUGAUAUAACUGGAAAUCUGGAAUGUGAAAACUGAUUUUGAGCUGUAUUAUUAUUAUUAUUAUUAUUAAAUAUUUGCUUCCUAUUCGUUCUGCAGUGUUUAGCAAGUGCAGGAUUUGAAAUUAAUAUGCUGUAAUUCCAACCAGUGAUGGAGAAAGGAAAAAAAUAAUACCGUGAUCAGGUAGUCAUGCAGAGCCAGAGCAACGUGGGUAGCCCAAGAGACCCAGAACGACCUUCGAUUCGGAAAUGGAUAUUCGAGUUUAGAUUGAAUAAUCUCUGAAAUCAUCUUAAGCACAUAAAUUUUAUUAAUUUACCAGAAUUACAAGAACCAAAUUUAUUGUUUGACCAAAAGUAUUACGCAUAUUUUCUUGCCCACAAAUUUGUGUUGGAACAUGUAUUGCUUGAUUACCCCGAACAACAAUGUCUUUACCAUUAAAUUUGAUUAUAAUAGUUUUAUUAAUAAUUAAUAAAUUAAAAUAUAGAUCUAUUAAAUUAAAUAUCAUUGAGUUAAUCAUUAUUAAUUUAUAAUAUAUUUACAAUUAUUAUUUUUAUCUAAUCAUCUCAACUUGAGCCCACAGCCAGCAAUUGGUGCUCAAUAUUUCUAAAAAUAUAACUAUGUAAGCUUUUUUAAUAUUAUCAAAAGUUUCGGCAAUGUCACCGUGUUGAUAUGAGGAAAACAAGCUAACCGUACGUAGUUAUUCAACUCUAUGGCGGCACUUAAAUAUCCUAAACCCAAUUCAGAAAAGUUUGAAUGCCAUCAAAUUGUAAUUUGUAAAACAUAUACGCAUUGCCCAUUCUGAUCAUUAAAGAGUUUCCUCCUAAUAAAAUAUGAUAUUUGUGGAUUUUUUUUUUUUUUUCUGUCACUAGGACAAUAAACUGCAUGAUUUUUAUACACAUUCUUAACCAGAAAUAGAAGUAAAAUUCCGAAUAUUUAGAUACCAAAACAUAUCGUAAAUUGAAUGGGAGUAAAUAUUUAGAUAAUUAUAAAUUUUAUAAUGGAAUGAUUGGUUAUCAAUUAAUACAUUUAUUAGCUCAUAUGGAUCUAUUUUCCAAUUAUUAGAAUUCGAAAUAUGUAUAUUUCACUUGUUUUAAUCGUUAACAAUUUAAUAUCUGAACAAAUUAAUUUAGUUCAGACAGUACUUCAUAAAAGUUAUAAUAAAAAAAAAAUUGAAACGGCAGAGAUCCCUCUCGCUUUACAAACACGCAGUUGGCAUUUUUCAAAAUUCGGUUAUGGCAGCAUCAAUCAAUCCUUACCCAAUAAAAAACAAACUACGGAUUGGUUUUGCUAGCCCUCCUAUAAAUGCCCGCGGAGCCUUUGAUCUCCCGCCAGUUUCUGAAGUUUCUUUGUUCGACUCGAUUUUAAAUUUCAAACCUACUUCUCUCUCUCUCUCUCUCUCAUUUCUGUCGCUAACUUUCGAAUUUCUCUCUAUUUUCUACAUCAAUGGUGAGCCUAAAAUCGUCUUGAAUCCUUCUUUUCUGGUUCUUCCUUAUUUUUCCUGUUCGCACCAACUUAUUGUACAUCAGAAUCUCAUUCUAUAUCUCCCCGUUUUUUUCCUCAGGGCGUUGCACAAAAGGUGAAGGAGGCGGAGAUCACUGAGCAGAAGUCACUGCUUCUGGUAAUCAACAAUCAAUAUCAUAUUUUAACUUAUUUGGAACUUUAGUUUGAUCUUUCCUCUCAUUCGAUCGAAGAGUGUAUAAUCCAACUUAUUGUUCUUUCACUGUUGGACCUCUACGUGAUUGUGCGCUGUUCUUAUCCAUUUGAAUAUUUCUUCUUCUGCUUCAGCUAAACAUCAUACGGACAGAUGCACGGGAGACAACUCAAAAUCGCUUUCGUUUCUAUUCUUGUUGUUAAUCCGAAUAAUAUGCUUUGUUGUCAAUCAUUUAUCUGCGUGCAUCAUGUAUGUGUACUUCAUAGGUUUGUUUGUCAAUUAAAAAAAAAAGAAACGUCUGUUUGUCGUCAGAUCAUUGCAUUUGUCGUUGUAUUCUUCAUCAGUGCCUUUUCUGUUUCAUGGAUUCACUCAUUGUUUUAUAUUUUCUUCUAACAGACGAGGAAUUUGCUCCGUAUUGCCAUAUUCAAUAUAAGUUACAUCAGAGGCCUUUUUCCAGACAAGUAUUUUAAUGAUAAGUCUGUUCCUGCCUUAGGUAACUUUUAAAGGAAGAGUUAUAUACUUCUGGUUUUGUAGUGUGUGUUUUUUUAAAUACUUCUGCACAUUCUUAAAUAAAUGGAUGCAUACAUAUCUUUGAGUGAAUGCCUCUUAUAUUUUGAAAAAUUAUCAACAGAUAUGAAAAUCAAAAAGCUGAUGCCGAUGGAUGCGGAGUCACGCAGACUGAUUGACUGGAUGGAGAAAGGUAGCCUGAGUCUCUUCAUUUGCAGAAGCUUCAAAAUUAUUUUUUCCAUCCGCAACUUUUUCUGACAAAUAUUUUCUACGUGAUUUUGCUUAUUGAGUUCGAUAGUCUUAAUGUUUGAUCUUUGUUUAGGUGUCUAUGAUGCAUUACAGAAGAAAUAUCUGAAAACACUUCUAUUCUGCGUGUGUGAAGCAAUAGAAGGGCCAAUGAUUGAGGAAUAUGCAUGUAAGUUCGUGCGAUUGUUUCAUUUUACUGUAGAAUCCAAUAAAUGGCUCUGGGGAUUGGCUUUUCAAUUUGAAAAUUUUGCCAUUUCACAUAUCGCCUUUUUAAUUGUUUCUGGUUGACGAGCAGAGCACAUGCUGUCAACGUUUGUAUCUAUAGCAUACAAGCGAUUCACCAUAAUUCAUCCUUCGUGAUUGACCCAAUGAUUGCUAAGUAAAAGCCAGUAUAAGUACUGUGCCUUAUGCAAAUUAAUUUGGUGCUGUUGUUUCUCUCUAAUGUUAACCUGGUUUUUUAUAAUUUAAUUACGCAUUGGGAGAUAAAGUUGGUUCAUCCAUGGUUGUAAUGUCUUUUUGCUCUGCAGUUUCUUUCAGUUACUCAAAUUCUGAUAGCCAGGAGGUCUCAAUGAAUAUCAAUCGCACUGGAAGCAAAAAACAGGGGGGUACAUUCAAAUGUAACUCCACAACCGAAGUUACUCCCAACCAGAUGAGGUAAUUUAAAUGUGAAUCUCGAUUCACAUGCGUUUCCUGUAGUCUACAUUUGAACCUUCUUACUAUACUGGUUAAUUUUGAACUAAUAUUGACAUUCAGGAGUUCUGCCUGUAAAAUGAUUCGUACAUUGGUUCAAUUGAUGAGAACUCUUGAUAAAAUGCCAGAAGAGGUGAAUGAGUUUAGCAACUGAACUGAAGGUCUUCGCUCUGAUUUUGCAUAUGUAGAUGUUACCCUCAAUUAUUACUGAAAAUAUAUAUGUUUCUUUCAGCGCACUAUAUUGAUGAAACUUCUGUACUAUGAUGAUGUGACGGUAUGCCUUUUCUUACUAAUUAAUCAAAGAUUAAUUUCGUUCUCAUAGAAUUAUUGCAUUCAAGUUUCAUGUCUCUUUUUUUAAUUGGUCUAUCAAGUGGGAACUGGACUCCAGAUUUUAGGCUCUCUAUGGAGGCUUUAUGCCAAUUGGGCUAACAAUCAUGCGUAACAUUCUUGGUUAACCUUUUCUCUACAUGUACUUACUUUAUUUCAUUUUUAAGUAAAGAAAGUUAGUGUUUGAAUAUAGUGUGAAUAUAAUUAGGCAACUUUGGUGGUUUGACUCUGUCGUGGAGGAUGAAAAGACAAAUUCUUUGCACUGCAUGUGAAUUUAAAUUGUUUUGCUUAUAGGCUCAAUGGGGCAUUUACCUUCUCUGGAACAUUCAGUGGGCAAAAGAUAUUCACUUCUGUUGUCGUCUAUGUGGAAAAUAGUAAACAAAAGGAAGAAAAAAUAAUGCAAUUACAUGACCUUGCAGCCAAUGGAUUAUGAGCCCCCUUUCUUCAGAAGUUGCACAGAAGAAGAAGCUCAUAAUCCAUGGACAAAAAAUCCUCUGAAAAUGGAAGUUGGAAAUGUCAACAGCAAGCAUUUUGUAUUAGCCCUGAAGGUAAAGUGUGAAGUUUGUAGGAGGGUAGAAAUUAAGAUGGAUAAUAAUAUCUCCUGUCCUCGUUAAUUUGUUCAGGUAAAGAGUGUGCUUGAUCCUUGUGAGGACGAAAGGGAUGAGAUGCAAGAUGACGAAGUUAUCUUAGGGGGAGAUUCUAUGCAGAUGGACGAAUCUUCUGACUCAGGCAGUGAGGUGAAGAGACAAUAUUAAUUUAAUGUUGUUCUUUAAUGAUUAUUUUUCUUCAAACUUCAUUGUUUUUCCAAAGAGCAGACUUCUCUCUUAGUCUGCCAAGAGUGAAACAGCUGCAAACCCUCACGCAUUUCCAUUGUAUCAAUAAUAGAUAAGAAAUAGAUUUUGAGACAAACUUUGUACUUUUAUUGCUGUGUAGAAAACUCAUGCUCUGAUUUCUAAAUUCAGGUCAGUCAAUCACAAGAUGAUCAAUACAUUGUAGCACCAGUUGGUAAUUACAUGAUUUCACUUGAAAAUCAGUUUACCCCCAUUUCCUGUCCCAAAAUUAUAUAGAAAUACAUUUGUAUAAAUAUUAUUUCUAUGUACAUGUUUCAUUUUGAUAAUUGACAGUAAAACUAACCAAUGUUGCCAUGACAGGUAAACAACAACCAGAGGAGGAAAACGGCAUGGUUGAUGAAGGUAAUAUUUUAAAGUUAAAUAGAAUAAGAUGCAUUCACCAACCCCUUGCGGAACAACAGAGUCAUCCAAAUUAAGAGAGCUGCCAUACAUGAUAAAUUAUAAAUAUUAAUUGGCAGGUUUUUUCUCUCUUUCUUUGAACAUUUGAGUUGUGUCUUUCUUGCUUUGCAGAAACUCAAGAUCCAAUUGAAGAUGAAAACCAACUAGCUAGGGUGAAAGAAUGGAUAGACUCUCGUCACCUCGAGACGAUUGAACUUACUGAUGUCCUCUCAAAUUUCCCUGACAUCUCGGUGGUGAGUUUUUUAACUUUUAUCAUGCAAACCCCAAGUCAAUAGCACGACAUGUUUUAAACAUAAAUUUUAGAUCUCACAAUUUGAUUUGUCCACUCUGAUUUUCAUAAUUGCAUACUGAAGUUUUGCUGGUUUUCAUAAAUGCAGGUUUUGACUGAAGGUAAAAGAGAAGCUUUGAUCUACUCUAAAUUUGACAUGAAGAGGAUAUCUAGUGGUUAAAUUUGAAGUUUAAAAAUUAGUUCCCUUUGCUUCCCUGUAAUCAAAAUAUCAGAAAUCAUGGAUACGCUUGUGAAGGAAGGUGUUUUAUCAAAGACCGGAAAGGACACUUAUACUAGAUACAAGAAAAAGGUUUGUCUUUUUUUCCCUUCAUUAUUUGUUCGAAUUCAACCUAUCCUCAAUACUGACGAAGACCCCACGUCAGCCGUUUGACUAUGAGUUCACUACGGUAAAAGAAGAAUUGGAUGGUCAGACACUCUCGAAGGGUGACAAAGCUCAGCAAGUUGAUGAGCGUACCUACAUGAAGGUGAGAACUUUUCUCUUAUUUUCUCAGUGGUAGACAAAAGGAUAUUUACGCUGUUUUUUACGAAGUUGGAGCAUUCUCUCAACGACUAUAGGAUUAGUAUAUGGUGCCACUGAGGUUGAGAGUACCAUGCUCAUUGUGAUGUAUAUCGCAUUGUAAUGGUGGUAAGAAUACGCAGUCCUUUUAAAAAAAUAGCGUGGGAUAGAUAGGGACACCCAAGGAUAGCAUCUUCGGACCCCAUUUUGACUUGAUCUGAGACUGUUUAUCAAUAGAUUUCUGUUUUGAUCUUGUUAUGUGGGUAUCUGAGGGUGGUUUUCUCCGCUUCUCCUGAUGAAUUGAGCCACUGAGUUGGCGUGCAGUAUGAAAUUCGAGUUUGAUUUCAUAUUGUGUCUAUCCUAGGUUGAGACGGUUCACUUCUAAUAACAGGUAUGCUGUAAUCUAAUUUCACGUGGUACAUUCUAAUUCGUUGUUACAAUCUUAGGCCUUGUACCAUGCUCUUCCCAUGGAAUAUGUGACGGUCUCGAAGCUUCACAAGCAGCUGGACAAAGAAGCAAAUCAAACUACCGUGCGCAAAUUAAUUGAUAAAAUGAUUCGCGAUGGUUAUAUUGAAGCUAAAGGGAAUCGUAGGCUAGGUCUGCAUUUCUCUCAGAAACCUUUUGUCCUCGCAUAAUUUGUGGGAUCAUACGGUUUUCAGUUUCCUUUUGUUACAGUAAUAAUCCGGGUUAUUACAGGAAAACGUGUGAUCCAUUCCAUUCUAACUGAGAGAAAGCUUAUGGAAGUGAAGAGCGUUUUGGACAGCGAUAAUAUGGUGAUAACUUUUAUCCUUGGUUUUUCUACCGGACUACUGCAUUUUCUUCUUGGAUCCGAAUAUUAUGUUUCUUUUAACUUCUUUCUUAACCGAACAGGAUGCGAAGAUCAAUGGAUCACAAAGCAAGUCUUGCCACGUAGCACGCGCAGCUGGUACUGGCUCAUACCCUUGUAGCGCUGCUUCAGCCCCUUCAAAUAAUACAUUCCGCUUCAAAAUGCACUAAAACUGUGGUUCAUUGUCAGGAAGCAAUCUCAAGGAUUUGUCAACGUGCGGGGUUCUUCAUUCAGUUGGAUCAGAUCUCACACGCAUGAAGGGUACAUCCGACAUCAAUCAAAAUGAUUCAAUCAGGAAAACCAGGGAGAAUGGAGGCACUCCCAUAAGCAUGGCUGAGGUAAGUAAACUUUGAAAUUGGUUCUUAUGUCAAAAAUUUUCUAACGCUCCAUUGUCAGUUGAUAGUCUGUUUACUAGUAGUUUACUUUUAAAUACUUCCAGCCAGUUGCUUCGAGAGAGAGUUUCAUACCAGGAAAUGAGAAUCGCAGAGACAAUGGACAUUCCAAUUGCUGUGAGGAGGCAGAUGGGAUUAUCUGUAGUAGAUCCACCCAGGAAAAACGGUCAAGGAAAACAAGCACGGUAUGCUUCAUUACUCGCUCUUGUUUACAGGGAAAACCUGUCAUUGGGAAAUAUUCUAUGAAUAUAUGUCAUUAUUAAUUGUUUAUUUAUUUCCUAAAUGACAAUUGUUUAUUUAUUUCCUAGUUUAGUGGUGAUAGACUGGCUAAUUUGUGCAAGUCAAGAAUUUCAAUUGUAUAUGUAUAGAUAUAGGCAAAAUCAAUAUGCAUAAAUAUAGGUAAAAUCAACGUAAUUGUUUCUUAUAUACACAUGUAUUCUAUACCAAAUCAAUGCAAUAAAAAGAUAUAGUGAUCUUUGCCAAAAGAUUUUAUCACCUUUUUCUUCACCAAUAAUACUUUUGUGUCAUGAUGCUUUUGGGGCAAUUCUUUAAUUUCGCAUAAGAAUCUCACGCACUAUAUAAUAACUUAGACAAUAUUAAUUGAUUGCUACAUAAACUUACUAAACGUUAUAAAGAUUAUCUCGAGGCGGAUGGUAAUAGAAAUUUAUUGGAUCUUCUUCUGGUUCUUAAAUUUUGCAGGUCAAGGAGCCCAUCCUUCAGUACUCCAAGCGCCAGAGAUCUCAAGCCGUCUGAAA